rnacentral:rRNA from 1 species
UACGUAGGGCGCAAGCGUUGUCCGGAAUUAUUGGGCGUAAAGAGCUCGUAGGCGGUCUGUCGCGUCUGCUGUGAAAAUCCAGGGCUCAACCCUGGACCUGCAGUGGGUACGGGCAGACUAGAGUGCGGUAGGGGAGAUCGGAAUUCCUGGUGUAGCGGUGAAAUGCGCAGAUAUCAGGAGGAACACCAAUUGCGAAGGCAGCUCGCUGGGACGUUACUGACGCUGAGACGCGAAAGCGUGGGGAGCAAACAGG